rnacentral:lncRNA from 1 species
GGUUGAAGGAAAAUAUGCGUAAAUAUAUUAAAUGAGAUGAGAGAUUUUUGAGAAGAUUUUGCUCUGUCUAAACAAUUUGUUGUUAAUUAAAAUGUUUUCAUACGGAAAUAAUCAUACAUAUUUACCGUACUUGACUGCUGUGUGAAUGGUGGACAAUUCACUAAUCAUAGGAUUGGUUUGACUAUUUUAAGGUGUAGUAUUAGAACAGGAAGGAUAAUUUGAAUUGUCUCAAAAGAAAUCUUGGCUCUAUAGUAUAAAUUAUGUUUUUACACUUUUGUAGCACUUGGAUUUUUGAUGACCUUUUACUGA